rnacentral:rRNA from 1 species
GACGAACGCUGGCGGCGUGCCUAAUACAUGCAAGUAGAACGCUGAAGAGAGGAGCUUGCUCUUCUUGGAUGAGUUGCGAACGGGUGAGUAACGCGUAGGUAACCUGCCUUGUAGCGGGGGAUAACUAUUGGAAACGAUAGCUAAUACCGCAUAACAAUGGAUGACACAUGUCAUUUAUUUGAAAGGGGCAAUUGCUCCACUACAAGAUGGACCUGCGUUGUAUUAGCUAGUAGGUGAGGUAACGGCUCACCUAGGCGACGAUACAUAGCCGACCUGAGAGGGUGAUCGGCCACACUGGGACUGAGACACGGCCCAGACUCCUACGGGAGGCAGCAGUAGGGAAUCUUCGGCAAUGGGGGCAACCCUGACCGAGCAACGCCGCGUGAGUGAAGAAGGUUUUCGGAUCGUAAAGCUCUGUUGUAAGUCAAGAACGAGUGUGAGAGUGGAAAGUUCACACUGUGACGGUAGCUUACCAGAAAGGGACGGCUAAUAC